rnacentral:rRNA from 1 species
AGAAUCAACGCUGGCGGCGUGCCUAACACAUGCAAGUCGAACGAGAAAGUGGAGCAAUCCAUGAGUAAAGUGGCGCACGGGUGAGUAACACGUGACUAACCUACCCUUGAGUGGGGGAUAACUUAGGGAACCUGGGCUAAUACCGCAUAAUACCUUCGGGUCAAAGGAGCAAUUCGCUUAAGGAGGGGGUCGCGGCCGAUUAGUUAGUUGGCGGGGUAAUGGCCCACCAAGACUGUGAUCGGUAU